AGCGGGGGCCCGUGCCCGACGCGGGGGAUCGAUGACUCGGCCGGUGGGCACGGCCACCUGGGACAGACCAUGGUGGCCCAGCCUGUGCAUGUGUAGCAGCUACUGAAGCUCAAGCAGCAGGCUGCGCAGCAGCAGAAGGCCAUCCAGCCACAAGCCAGCAGACGGACAUCCCUGAGGGGUCCCAGACUGUGAGAGGGCACAGACCAGGCUGAGGGACCCUCCACCCCCAGUGUACAAAUUUUGUGCACCGGGCCUCUAUUGCCCCUAGGAGGAUGGUCUCACUGAUUCUUCUUGGUUCAUUAAGAAGAAACAGAAAGAUCCUGUGUGUUGAGAGACUCUUUCUGGAUCAUUUCCCAAUGAUCAUAUAGGACUUGGUAAUCCAUUGGCAAAGGUGAUGGUGACAAUGGGGUGUUUGGCAAAGUGGAUGAGGUGGCUGAUGGAAUAGCUUAGGUUAAGAAGAAUGCUUGGCAAGGCAUCAUGAAACAAUGUCUGAAAUGUUCAAAACAGAGAUUCGUUUAAUAGGAAAAAAGAAAAUGUUUAGCAACUAUAGUAAUUUCUUCUGAGCACUGAGCUGAGAAAUAGCUAGUCUGAUUUUGUAGCCGUGAACCGAGAUGUCUUUGAACAAUACAGAAGUUUAAUUAAACAGGCAGACAUUUUGAAACCAGUCACUGAAAUUAAAAAUUAUGUUUUAAAUUUUGUUAGUCAAUAAAUAUUAGACAAGAACCUAACCUUGCAUUCUGCACACCUCAUCCCUAAAGUCAGUGUAGGUCUGAAUAAA